rnacentral:piRNA from 1 species
UUGUUCCAAUCUUCAUGGAAU